UCAUCAACAUCAUCAUUAUAUGCCUUGACCCUUUUCUAGCGCAACCUGAUCCUCACCCUCCACUGCACCUCAACGCCAAUUCUCUCUCUCUCUCUCUCUCAAAUUGUCAGAAUUGCUAGUAAUUCGGAAAUCCUUUGCCUUUACACUUACAAACCACAAGAUGGGCUCAAACUCCACGCACGGAUCUUCAAGCAAAAAAGCGACAUCGUGAUAGUGCUACUGCUAGUCCACCCGUACUCGGUGAUGGCCUAAUAAGAGGUUCUCUCACAAUGUUGUUGCUGUCUGCAACUGGGUCUCGCUUUUUGUUGGACUCUGGUGGAUAGUUUGCUCAAUACUUUGUACAUUCCAUGUGUAAUUUCAGAUGGUGGAUCUGAUCAUGCAGGACUCCCGCAGCCUGACUGGUUAAACAUGUGCUUAAUGCUUGGAUACCAUUGCAAAAAUCAACAUAAGGACCUUGAUGAGGGUUUAAAAUUUUAAAUUUGCAGCUAUCACCACAGAAGGCCAAAUAUUUUGCAUGUCCUGGAUAUUUGAAAUAGAGAUUUCUGGGGAGUCAAUUUCAGUACAACCUUUAACAUCAAAGACAGCCAUUAUUACCAACAAAAUCUCUAGAUCUUAUACUUACAUGUUGUUCACUGCCCCUAAUACUAUUUUACAACCGAGUCCAUGCCGGUGCAAAUUUCACUUGAUGAAUGAAAAAAUCAAUGCUUUCUUUCGAGUUUCUGACAUCCAAAAUACCAAAGCAGGUACUAUUUUUCCAAGCGGGUCUUGCAUGAAGUGGAGAUACGAUCUUGGAGGCAAAAACCCAAAAAAUUAUACAGAAUGAGAUGCUGUCAACAUCACCAACUUGCUGCUCAUAUAAUUCCUAAACUCAACCGUCAUUUCAUAUUUGCUCAUUACCUUGAAAACAACCAAUCCUCAAACAGCCCAGCCUUGCAGUUGGUACCCAAUAGGUUCCACCGUAAUGCUGGUUUCUCCAUUAUCAUCCUACAGAUUGCCCAUUCAAGAGUGGCUGCUCUCCAUCUGCUUUGAAGCAAAAACAAAAUAGAUUCACAUAUUCAUAUUCACAAGAACAAGGAAAGAAAUAACAAAGAAAGAUGGGGGUCUGAAGCCCUUCAAAUGUAUGCCAUGGGAAUAUAAUAUAUAUGCACCUAUUCUUGACAGCCACAAAUGUAAGGUUGCUCUUAAACUAAUUGCUAAAACCUUAAUGGCUUGAUCAUUACUUUAUCUGGGUAAUCUAUCUACAAAUUAUCAGCCCUUAGAUGGGGUUUGGUGCCCCUUCCUCUA